CGGCGGACGGGUGAGUAACACGUGGAUAACCUACCUAUAAGACUGGGGUAACUUCGGGAAACCGGAGCUAAUACCGGAUAAUAUUUUGAACCGCAUGGUUCAAAAGUAAAAGACGGUCUUGCUGUCACUUAUAGAUGGAUCCGCGCUGCAUUAGCUAGUUGGUAAGGUAACGGCUUACCAAGGCAACGAUGCAUAGCCGACCUGAGAGGGUGAUCGGCCACACUGGAACUGAGACACGGUCCAG
rnacentral:rRNA from 1 species